UUUAGUUAAGUUACCAUUGCAUUAAAAAGAUCUAAUAAAAUGGAGGGGAAAAAAAACCUUUACAAGUUAACAGAACAAUUGGUAAAUCUACUGCACUUACACUGCUAGGCUUAAUGUUCAGACUUAUUUUCACAUAUUACUUUUUUGUCCCAUCCAUAGCAAUUGACAGAGUGCUCACAAAUACACAUGGGAGUGUUUGAAAGCAUUUUUAAGAUUUUUUUUAUUUUUUAUUUAAGUAUCGACCUGAAGUACCAACACUUUUGACAACACUACUAGAACUGAUAUGUCAUAUGUGAAUGCAUAUUUGUUUGCUUUCGUUAAAUGCACAUUACAAGUUGCUUUGGAACAUAAGUCGCAGUACAUUUCAGAUUAAAUUGUUUUUCUAGAAAUAAAUAAA